UACGGGGGGAGCAAGCGUUGUUCGGAUUUGCUGGGCGUAAAGGGCGCGUAGGCGGCCAGCACAAGUCAGUUGUGAAAUCUCCGAGCUUAACUCGGAAAGGUCAACUGAUACUGUGCGGCUAGAGUGCAGAAGGGGCAACUGGAAUUCUUGGUGUAGCGGUGAAAUGCGUAGAUAUCAAGAGGAACACCUGCGGCGAAGGCGGGUUGCUGGGCUGACACUGACGCUGAGGCACGAAAGCGUGGGUAGCAAACAGG
rnacentral:rRNA from 1 species